AUUGAACGCUGGCGGCAUGCCUUACACAUGCAAGUCGAACGGCAGCACGGGUGCUUACACCUGGUGGCGAGUGGCGAACGGGUGAGUAAUACAUCGGAACAUGUCCUGUAGUGGGGGAUAGCCCGGCGAAAGCCGGAUUAAUACCGCAUACGAUCUACGGAUGAAAGCGGGGGCCCUUCGGGCCUCGCGCUAUCGGGUUGGCCGAUGGCUGAUUAGCUAGUUGGUGGGGUAAAGGCCUACCAAGGCGACGAUCAGCAGCUGGUCUGAGAGGACGACCAGCCACACUGGGACUGAGACACGGCCCAGACUCCUACGGGAGGCAGCAGUGGGGAAUUUUGGACAAUGGGCGAAAGCCUGAUCCAGCAAUGCCGCGUGUGUGAAGAAGGCCUUCGGGUUGUAAAGCACUUUUGUCCGGAAAGAAAUCCUUGGCCCUAAUACGGUCGGGGGAUGACGGUACCGGAAGAAUAAGCACCGGCUAACUACGUG
rnacentral:rRNA from 1 species